CCUCUCUGCCAGGCCCGGGGGGAGAGAGAGGGUGGUGAGCAAAGGGUUAACCUGGUAAAGUCACAGGCCUGGCUCUGAGCCACCCGGGUGCCCAGCUGUCCCUGCGGGCAGGCAGAACCUUAAGGACAGAGGGAGGCAACCCUAGGGUGCCACAGGCUGGGCUCCUGUUGGGUAGGAGUCCGGUCACAUGUUGCUGUUCGACACGCUCCUGGGUCAGCCUCCUGUCUGACGCCCUCCCUGUCGCUGCCUCCCUCCCGCCCCUCAGCUCGGCUCGGCUCGGCUCGAGGAUCAGCGGCAGCAGCGGGAGAGCUGCCCUAGCGGCGGGAGGCGGCGGACCGAGCCCGAGCGGAGCCCGCACCAUGGUGCUCUCGGUGCCUGUGAUCGCGCUGGGCGCCACGCUGGGCACGGCCACCAGCAUCCUUGCGCUGUGCGGGGUCACCUGCCUGUGCCGGCACAUGCACCCCAAGAAGGGGCUGCCGCCGCGGGACAGCGAGCCCGACCCGGAGAAGGCGAGACCCGGGGUGCUCCAGCCGGCCCAACAGUUCAACGUGAAGAAAUCCACGGAGCCCGUCCAGCCCCGUCCCCUCCUCAAGUUCCCGGACAUCUAUGGCCCCAGGCCAGCCGUGACGGCUCCGGAGGUUAUCAACUACGCAGAUUACACACUGGGCACCACGGGGAGGAGGCUGCUGCAUGCCCAUCAGCCCUCAGCCCCUGAGUGACAGUCGCCUCAAGAGGCAGGUCACCGAGGAGCUGUUCAUCCUUCCUCAGAAUGGUGUGGUGGAGGAUGUCUGCGCGUCAUGGAGACCUGGAAUCCAGAGAAGGCCGCCAGCUGGAACCAGGCCCCCAAACUCCACUACUGUCUGGACUAUGACCGGCAGAAGGCUGAACUCUUUGUGACUUGCCUGGAAGCUUUGACCAGUGACCACGACGGAGGCUGUGACUGCUAUGUGCAGGGCAGCGUGGCCAUCACGACAGGGUCCGUGGAGGCCCAGACGGCCCUGAAGAGGCGACAGCAGCACACAGCCUGGGAGGAGGGCCUGGUGCUGCCCCUGGCAGAAGAGGAGCUGCGUACAGCUGCCCUGACUCUCACCCUCAGGACCUGUGACCGCUUCUCCCGCCACAGUGUGGCCGGGAGCUCCGCCUGGCCCUGGAUGGGGUGUCCGUGCCCCUGGGGGCUGCCCAGUGGGGCGAGCUGAAGACCUCAGUGAAGGUAGGGUCCAUCUGGUCCAUGCCAUGGAGACAGGGACAGUCUGUCCACGGAGCGUCAGGGCAGAAAUCUGGGCCAGAAGGGUCAGAACAAACCUGGAGACCUUCAGGGGCCAGUGAGAGGUGUGGAGGGGCCUUGGGCAGGGCCGGGGCUGGAGAAGACCUGUGGCCUGGGGCUCAGGGUUCCUGGGGUCCACUUCGGCAGUGCUUCUUGGCUGCUGCACAGGUCCCCUGCCACCUUCAUGGAAAGCUUCACGGGUGUGCACUGGCUCUCGUGCAACAGCAGUGCCAUCCAUCCUUUUUUUGUUCUUUUGAGACAGGGUCUAGCUUAGGGCUGGUCUUGAACUCACUAUGUAGGUUAGGCUGGCCUUGAACUCUUGGCGACCCUCCUGUCUCAGCCUCAGUGCUGGAGUUAUGAGUAUGCAUCGCCAUACCCAGCGAGCAUCCCUGCUGAAUCCAGUCCUACUCUGUGUGCACCCGCUAUGUGCCAGGCACUGCAGGGAGGGGUGGACAAGGGGUGGGGGAGAGGCAGCACUCGGUGCUCAUAGAAAGCGCAGGCUAAAGGGAUAAACCAUGCUGACCAAUGGCAGUGACGAUGACCUCUGAUGUGUGGGAUCCUGGGCUGAGCCAAAGUCCUGUGAGAGAAAGUUCUGGAAGGCUUGGUGCAAGGUGGCCUUGCACUGGGCUCUGAAGGACCCACUGGGCUGAGGAUGAGUCCCCAGGUGAUUUCCCACCUCUGCUGUGCUGAGGUGACAGUGACAGAGAGUCAGGCAGGACACAAGGCAUUCCUCAGAAAGGGGGCUCCACGUAGGCCAUGGUGGGCAAAAGUCCAGAGGAGGGCAGGGCUGGGGAUGGUGCGGGGCCACUAGUGCCCUAGUCAAGGCCACUCCAAGCAGCCUGCACUGUGGUGACUGGUCUGUCACCUCUGCCCAGAGACCGCAUGGCCCACAGUGCCUGUCUGGCCCUUUCUAGAUUGUUUGGGCCCCUUGUGCUGCAGUAGUAGGAAUGCUAAUCAGGUGCGUGGCCUCCUCCUUCCUUCCUUCCUUCCUUCUCUCCUUCUUUGCUUUCUUUUAUGGUGCUGGGGAUUGUCACACUGAGCUACUGUCACACUGAGCUACAUCCCUAGCCCUUUCUAAUUUAUUUUUUAAUUUUUGAGACAGUGUCUCAGUAAAUUGCCCAGGCUGGGCUUGAAUUUGUGACCCUCCUUGCCUCAGCCUCCCAGAGUGCUGGGAUUACAGGCGUGCGCCACCACCGCUGGCUCAGGAUGCUAUUUCUGAGUGCUCCCCAUAUAUCAGCAGCGAUCCUUAGGACUUAACCUGAGUUCUUCCACCUACUUCCCAAAUCCAGCAGUGAGGGAGACGCCAUGAUGGUCCCAUUUGUGAACUGAUGCUCAUCGUUGUUGAGGAACUUGCAUAGGUCACCAGCCAGGACGCCGAGAGCCCAGCCUUGAGGCCGACUCACUGGACUCUAAUCCCUGCUGUCUCAUCCCUGCCACGAGCAUGUGCCUGACAAGCAAGAGGCACAACCUUUCCUAAUGGGUACCCUGAGGUCAGGAGAGAGGAGAACAGUUCCACUCCCCACCUUGCUCCUCUCUUGCCAGCAUUUCUUCCUUGCCGCAUUUUCUCUUCUUUCCUAGGCUUGGAAAAUUGAUAGAAUAAUCACAGUCAUUCCAGCAUGGUUCCACAGCAUGCUCUGUAAUUAGUGUGUGAUUCGGGCCUUGUGUGAACACAGACAGGCGCCCUGGAAGAAGCCAAGCACAGGAGGACCAGCUUUCUCCAGAGAUGCGGAGCCCUCCUCCCUGCCUUGCUGAACUUUAGGCUUUGCUACAAGCCCAAAAGGGCUGAAAUCCCACUGACCAGUCUCAGGCACCUCCCUGGCUUUAAUCCCUCCUGUAGAAAAGCAGUGUCACCCAUCCAUCCACCCACCCCCCAUCCUCCAUCCAUCUGUACCACAAAUACCCUGUUCUCCUGGGGACACAGCCCGAGCUGCAGUGCAGCCCCAUCCACUGCCACACCUGCCAGUACUCAACCCUCUGCAGACAUCCCCAACAUCCACUUCCCUUGGGAAUGCGAGGCAGAGAGAGCCCCAGCCAGCCAGGGAGCCUCUAUCUGGGUUGAGGGCAUGGGCUGGCUUAACCCUGGUGGGGGGCCUGCAGUUGUGGGGCCAGGUAUUGCCUUCUCUGGGCCAGAAGGGGUUAACAGAGGCACCGGCAGUGCCUCAGUUCUAGCCAAAGACACUCAGCCAAAAGUGGCUUGUGCGUCAGCAGGGCCCACAGCGCGACUCACUCUGAGGACAGCCUGGAGUGAUUCAUUGAGAGCCAGAGAGAAAGAGGGGGUGAGAAAGGAGGUACUUGAAGAGCCAGGAUGCCAAGGGGGCAGAUGCCAACACGCUGUGCUAAGGUGCAGAGGGCAGGGUGGUCCAGAGCCCCACAGGGCCGGCAGGCGGGGGGCCCCUCCCUGGGCUGGGGAACAGAAGGCUGCAGCCGUCGCCCCAUGGCUACAGCCUGAGCCAACCAUGAACCCCUGCCACACAACCUUGAGUCAGAAGGCAGUGCCUAUCCCAGCUCUGCUGCCACCCUGCGGGGUGCCUGGCACCUGUCCCCAGCCUCAGUUUCUUCUCUGUGGAGUGAGGGGCUGGGCGUGUCCACCUGGGAAGCCAGAGGCCAUGGAUUUCACACUCAGGCUUCCCCUUUUAGACCAGACCUCCCUUCCCGUUCCAGUGCAGGUGCAGGUGCUUGUGCCUAGGAGGGGCACAAAGUCAGCACCUUCUGAGAGUCAUUGUCAGGGGUAAAAUGGGAUGUCUCACCUUCAAAACAGGUUUUUGGACAUUUAUUUGGUGCCCACUGUGCUCCAGGAGCUGGGAUGCAUAAGGAGCUGACAGCCCCUGGGGAGAGAUUAUGUAAUUGAGUGCAUAGUAAAUGUUUAAUAAGCAACAGUUGCUAUCAUUUAUGUUGUCCUCAAGGUUCCUUGAGGCCCCUAGACCAGUUUUUCAUACAGGAGUCACUUGUGGCUGAUUGAAUCAGUGGCAUCGAGUUGGAGACAUUUUUCCUGCAUGGCAAGUGUGACCCAAGGAGGAGGUAUAGUGAGCCUGGCAGAGGGCUGGCCAUUGCUUCAUCCAGCUUCGUUCCCAAGCCCAGAUUGGCUCCUACGGACCCAGAAACAGUGCUCAAGAAGUGGUGAUGACCCUUCCCAGAGAACUAAUGGUGAUAAUCCCAGCCAAAGGGGCCACAGUGCCCAGGAUGUGCUGGGCACUGGUCUAAGCCUUUGCCUCUGAACUCAGUUUAAUUUUUACAACAGUCCCUUAAGGGAGAGAUAAUACUAUUCGCAUUUCACAGAUAGGGAAGUCAAGGCUCAGAAAAGCUUAAGUAACUUCCCCAAGCUCACACAGCUAGUAAGUGGUAGGACUGGAACUCAGACCCAGAUAGGCCGGCUCUAGAGUCUGUGCCCUAAGCAUUAUGGAGUGCUUGCUCUGGGUUAUUAAUAAUUGCUGUAGUUUUGACAGCUGUCAUUUGAAUUAUAAUUGAUGGCCUUUCAUGGGGUCUUGCUAAAUGCAUUUUCUCAUCUGAUCGCUGCCAUUUUUAUUUCCUCGUAGCACUGAAUGCAGCUUGAUGUUACUCACGUAAUCAUUUCCUGUCUGUCACCCCCACCCCGUGUGACUGAAAACUCUCGGGAGAUUGUGCUUUGCUCAGCGCCUUAACUGCAGCAUCUGAAACAUAGCGGGUGCUGUUUGCAUGUCUGCUGCAUGGUGGAUGAGUCUCUCUUUUUUUCUGCUAAAGGAACCAACGUUUAGAGCAGUUAACUGGCUUGCUCGGUGUCGCACAGGAGGUAAGUCGUACAGCAGGGUCUGCAGUACUGCUGUGCAUUCACUUCCAGCCAGGCCCUGUGCUGGGAAAGCCAAAAGGGGGACAGAGUGAAAGUCGUGGCAUGGACUGGGACCGGCGUCCAUGGCCCUUCUCCGCCUUCCCAGUUUCCUCGUGCAGCAGCUAAGGGGGUGCCGUCUUUCUCCUGGAGGCUGCGAGGGAAGGACAUCUGCCUUCUGCUGAGAAUCCCCUGGUCCCUGGCCACUCGAUCCCGCUCCUCCCUGCCAGGUCUCCCUCGAGCUCUGAUGGCCACCGAACCCACACUCCCUGGGAGGUUACCGGUCAUGUUUUUGUGUGCUUGUGCCUUUGUCUUUCGGUUCCUUGACAGAUUUAUAGGCCUGUCAGUGGAGACGCUCUGUGAAGUACACAGGGGACAGAUGUGUCUUGGUGCUUCCUGGAGACCUUUAUCUCCGGGGCGCUUUCUGCUAUCCUGCGCUCAUAGUGUUUCAUUGACUUUGGCCAAGCAAGCCCCUGCUCAGCAUUAUUGACCAAGCAAGCCCCUGCUCAGCAUUAUUGACCAAGCAAGCCCCUGCUCAGCAUUAUUCUAACAUUUUGUUGACUGAUGGCCCAGGGUAAAUUGGCUUUUCAAACAAAGAAAUGAAUUACAACUCUUCACUGCUCUGAGAACCUGAUUGGUCAGCACAUUGAUUCUCAAACUUUAUUCUCUGAAUCCCUAGAGUUCUGCAGAGGAACCCCAGGAAGCUAGGGAUGAGGCAGGAGCAAAGGGUGAGGGGAUCUCAGAUUUCUGCCCCUGAUACAUCUUCAGUGCCAUCUCCUUGCUCUGUGAUUGAAAAUAAAAACUUAUUACAGUAAAAGACACAUUACCAUUCAUCUCCCCCACAAUACUCUCCUUCAAUUCCAACAUACGUACCCCAUUAUUCCUACCAAUUUCUGCAGCGGUUCUGGAAGUCACCCUUUUAGUUGCUGUGGCUAUUAAAGUGAAUGUUGUAAUUGCCUUAAUGUCCUGAAUUGAUUCAAAAUGUCAACUUUUCCUGGUCGUUUUGACUUGAAGAGGAAGCAGAAGUUGCAUGGUCCCAGGCCCAGUGAAUGAGGUGGAGGGGGCACAUCGUGAUGUUUUUAUAAGGAAGGCUUUCUUUUGGAUGGCACCUGGCAGCAGCAGUCACCAUAUUUUUUAUUACAUCUCACAAAGAUACUCAGGAAAUAGAACUCCAGAGCUGCUUUAGAAAGUGGGGGAGGAUUUGGGGGGAGGAUUCAUGGCAGUGUGUCUUUUAAUAUAAUAAGCUUUUCUGACUGAAACUCUCACCGUAUCUUUGAUCACCCCUUGUAUGUUGGACCUGAAUAUAUGACACCUGGAAAACCACAUUUGGUGGCAGACAGCAAACUCCUGUGGACACCCACACCCCUUAACACUCCUCAUGCCACGCUCCUCUAUGGGGUGCAGGGGAGAAGCCAGGCUGGGUGGACGACUCCUGGGUGCCCCUCGAUGCAAGUCCGGUGCUACCAGGCUAAGCAAUGCUUGUGGGUGAGAAGCCACCCCCUGUGUCCCCUUCUGUUUCAGGAGCCGUCUUCGGGGACUGGAGAGGUCCUCCUGUCCAUUAGCUACCUCCCGGCUGCCAACCGCCUCCUGGUGGUGCUGAUCAAAGCCAAGAACCUCCACUCCAACCAGUCCAAGGUGCUCCUGGGCAAGGGUGAGUGCUGAGAAGGCUGAGUCAGACCACGGGGAUGUGUGCAAGGGAGGCAGCAAGCGCAGUGACAGUCACCCUCGGCUGUGCCCUCCACCCAAGCUCACAGCCCAAGCUGAAGGCCACACUCUCCUUUGAGUUCACAUCCAUUCAUUCCUGGCCCAUCCCAGCCUCCAAGGCCCAGCGAGGUUCUCCCUGGGCUCCCUGCCUCUGAGGUCCACCUGACAGCCGUCAGCCUUGACACGGAUCCAGGAAGCCAAGGGUCAGGCCGUAGACGUGGUGAGGAGUACUGGGCUCCAGGGAAACCCUGCCCCGCUGCACUCACCUCUGGGCAGGUGCUGAUGCGGGGAAGCCCCUGGUUCUUUCCUCCCAUCUCCUCCAGCCUCCAAUGCACUCCCACGGCUUCCCCAGUCUCCUCUUUCUGUUCUCAGCCUUGGCCAACUGCCACCCCCUCAUCAGCUGAGUGCGGCUGUCACAAAAGUUGUGUGGGUGUGGGGCGGAGCCUCAGGGUGUCUGUACCCCAUUUACCCACAUAAGCCUCUUUUCAACACUCUGGACAUUUCGGUUUUUCUUUCUAGGAACCCCCGCACAGGACCCAAGUCUUGAGAUCAAGGCGGGCUCUCGUAUCUGAGUAGGAAGACAGCUGGGUUAGCCAGAUAAUACCUGGACUGGGGACCAAGUGCUCAUAGCUGGAGAGAAACGCAUCUGUAUUAGUAGCAGGAUACAAAUAAAGCAUUGCCAUUAUGUACAGAAUCUUUAAGCAAAAAGUUUUGGACAAAUGAAAUCAGAAGGGUUAAUCUUGUUGGCAGAUUCCCAAGCCAAAGAUGUCUCAGUCAAGGUGACCUUGAAGCACCAGGCUCAGAAGCUGAAGAAGAAGCAGACGAAACGGGCCAAGCACAAGAUCAACCCUGUGUGGAACGAGAUGAUCAUGUUCGAGCUGCCUGACGACCUGCUGCGGGCCUCCAGUGUCGGAGCUGGAGGUGCUGAGCCAGGAUGAGGCUGGGCAGAGCUGCACCCUCGGUCACUGCAGCCUGGGCCUGCACACUUCCGGCUCAGAGCGCAGCCACUGGGAGGAGAUGCUCAAAAACCUGCGCCGGCAGAUUGCCAUGUGGCACCAGCUGUGCCAGUAGCCGGGCCCUUGCGGGGACACGGGCCCCUCCUCCAGCCCCAGCUGUCCCGUGCAACCUCCUCUGUCCCCACCCUCAUUCUGAGACAGACUGGGACCCGCGCUUCCUCUCUGGCCACACUCCUGUUUCGAAAGGGCAAGUGUGGAAAUGGGACAUCGGGUCGCACAAGGAGAGCACCUUGCUCCUCUGUGCUAUGGGAAGAGCUGUCUACCAGACAAUCCUGUGCAGGACUUGCAAGUGUGGGAAGCCAGAUGCAGGGGGAGCUUAAUUCAGGGAAUUGUGGAUGCAAAGAGGUUCCUAAAAAUAAGUAUUGCAACAAGAAUGAAGGAGAAAUGAUCCUGGAUCAACUCAAAGAGUUAGAAGUGGUCUGGGUGGGAUGAAACCAACCCCCGCCAAGCAGCUGUAGGACGUUAGUGUGUAGAGACUCACCCGCCAGCUCCUGGGCCGCCAGUGAGUUCCAGGUCAGAGAUUCGGGCCAAGCCUCUUCCUCAGUCCUUCUAAGCACUGAGAGAUUCCAAGGCAGAGGUGGGAGGACGUGGAGGGGUUCUGUCUACAACAUUCUACGUGGGCUUUCAACCUCUGUCUGCUAUGGGGCCCCAACACCUGGAGGCAGCGACCCCAACCCUGGGCACCUCAACCCUGUGUGUGAACUCAAAGCCUCCAUUUUUGAUUUAACUCUUAAUGUUGAAAUGUGUGCUUUUUCCAGGUCCUGCUCUUGGGCUGCAUUUUGUGAUUUUUAUUGAAGGACUGUAUUGUUUUAUCUUGAAAUUGGCUUAUAUUGUGUGUGAGGAGACCUUCUUCCACAAAGUAUAGGUGGGAUCCUCACUCUGUUGGUUAUUGGGCUGGAUUCUGAGCAUUAGUUGUCACAUCUACCAGCAUUACCAAAGUGACCCUGUGCAACAGAUCCAUUCCUUCUCUGCAUUCCAGCUGCUUCCGGAGGAAGUUAAUUAUGAACUUGGUCUACUCCAUUUGGCUGCAGGAACAUGGAGAGGAAAGACAACUUUAUAAAGGAGUGAGGUCUUUUGCAGACAUGCCUCCCUCCCUGGGUUUGGGGGUCCUUAAAACUUUAACCAGUAAAUAGCUAGCAGCUAGAUUUUUACUUUCUACCUGUUAUUCCCAAAUCAUUGUCCCCACUGUGAUUAAAUCUACAUGAAGGUGGUCAUACUACUCAUCAGGAACUGGAUUGCUGGGUUCUGCUGCUCUCACUGCCCUUCACAAGCUUAAUGUGGCCAUCUGUCAAGUAGGGCUAACAUCCUGGGAUCUUAUCUGUGUGCAUGAUAUGGUAGGUGAGAAAGUGUUCAAAAAGUUGAAGGUAUUCCUCAGCUAAGAACAAACUCCGAGACCACUAGCAGGUCACCUUUAAGCUAGGUUACUGUCUUUCACGUCAAGCUGGGAGCUGAGAAUGCCUAGAAAGUGUCAGACCUGCUCAAAUAUUUCCAGAACCAUGGAUUCUGCAUUUGAACUUCUUUCUAUUAAUAGUCAAACUCUGGGCCCUCCGAUGUCAGCCCCAUUCUCUGAUGGAAGGGAGGAUUCCUGGAUGAGCUGUCUAAGCAUCAUUCUUCUUAAAUUCAGUUGUUCUCGGCCUCUCCUUGAGCAGAGCCUUCAUACUCUUUUGUCAUUAUUUGCUCUUUCUAUACAGAAAUGGGAAAGCACUAGAAAUAACUUCUACCCACUCUGUGGAAACAGAAAAAAAUAUAUAAUCCCUCUUUAAUGGGCAGGUCUUUCAGAUAAUUGGAAACCUUGAUCUUUCAGGUUGACCCACCCUUGUUCCAAGUGUUUUUUCAAAGGUGCAGUAUUGUCUUUGGUUUCCAAAAAUGUGUUUCUGAGUUCACCCUCUCUGCCCUGGUCUCUUCUUUUUGGUUGGCAUGGCAAAAAGAGAACAAAAUAUUCCCCAGGUCACCUGAAAGCUGGCCAGCAUCUUCUUUAACAUGCGCUAUCUAGAAACAUGAGUUCCACUUCCCUAUAAAUCAAAGCACUGCUUAUAGUCCCACCAAAGAACAUUUGAAGAGUGCUGGACAGGGCCCCCUGGCCCAGAGCAUCAAUGCCACCCAAAGUCAACCCAUUCAUUUCUUUGGAUCUCAAAGGUUUAGUUUUCCAGAAUGAAAGCUAAAGGCUGCUCCUGAUAGGGGUCACAUUAUACCAUAGGACAUUUUAGGUGCCAUUGUCACCCCACUUGGCAGAGAGGCACAGAAAUGGCAUAGGCUCUGCAGGGGCCUCAUUUGGAUGUUCACUGGUGGAUUCCAAAUGCCUAGGAUAAAGCUGUCUUAUGGGGCUCCAACAGGGCUUGCUGGAUGAAUGAAUGAAUGAUGGGAGAGGUGUCACCAGAAAAGGACACAGCACAUGGCAGAACAAGGAGAGCCCUGGCUGAGUUGACAAUGGUAAAGAUGUCAGUUGACUCAACAGUUAGCCUGGAAAUUCAUGACAUUGAGUAUUAGCAUUCACUCAACAACAGUCAAAGGUCUCCAUGUAAAUGGAUUUAACAAAAAAGAGAAUAUAAUUGCCAUACUUUCCCACCCAAACUCCAUUCUGGUGAAUUUUAAAUUACCCAAAGAUGUCAGACUGCCAAAUCAAAAAAUUUUGGUAAUCUUUGCCUCGGUUUACCUUGUACCAGACACACUUGCAAUUUACCUUUUAAUUAGAGUGAUGAAGUCUGUGUGAACAUAUUUGAUAAUUUUUGAAAGGGUUACCUUGUUCUAUGUAGGGAAGCAUUUUCUAAGAAAGGUGUGAAGCAGAGGUAAAAACAAAGAGUCUGUUUCAGGCUGGGCUGUCACCCAAGAGGGGACCUGUUUCUUUCUUAGAGACAGCCACGGGCUUGGAGGAUUAAGGAUCCACCUUCAUUUGUUGGUGACUUCACUUCUUGAGCCAUCAGUCUGUACUUGUUGAGUCCUGUUCCUCAAGACUUUGCAUGUGUCUGUCCCUUCCAAUUUCAGAUGUGACUCUUGGUCUGGGUUGUGUGACAAACCACCCUAAUUGAAGCUAGGCAGAGGGAGUGGGGGGAACAGGAGUGCUGUUCUUUGGGACCACUUGGAAAGGAGUCCUGGAUGGAAGGUGGAUGCAGCCUAAGCCAAAUGGACAAGGUGAGGACAGGGAAAAGAGACCUAGUCCUUGUGAUUUGUUGCUGCCUUUGCUGUUUCCUGUUGUCAAUUGCUCUGUGUGUGUGUUAGUGUGUGUGUGUGUUUGUGUGUGUUUUGCUAUCAUGAACUGAAGCACAAAUAGAGGCAUGAGACAUUGUAGUCAUGUAUUCCGUGUCACACUCUGGAGCAAAACUAGUGCAGUGGUAAAUAAAUAACUUCCAACAGGGUCAGUAGCUUGGUGUUUCUCUGUUUUGUUCUGUUUUUUCCUUUCACUUAAUAUUUUGGACAUCUAAAAUGCAGGAAAAGUAAAAACAAAAACAAAAACAAAACACUUUGCAGUCAGCAUUCACAAACCACUGUCAAUAUAAUGAACCUUGACAGCUGCAGCUCAGUCUGCUCUGUGCCCUCUACUCCAGACCUGCCUCUGGGUUUUUAUC
rnacentral:lncRNA from 1 species